rnacentral:rRNA from 1 species
GAUGAACGCUGGCGGCGUGCUUAACACAUGCAAGUCGAACGGACUUAAGAUGAAGCCUAGCGAUUCUUAAGUUAGUGGCGGACGGGUGAGUAACGCGUGGGUAACCUGCCUCACACUGGGGGAUAACAGUUAGAAAUAGCUGCUAAUACCGCAUAAGCGCACGGUGUCGCAUGACACAGUGUGGAAAACUCCGGAGGUGUGAGAUGGACCCGCGUCUGAUUAGCUAGGUGGUGGGGGAACGGCCCACCAAGGCGACGAUCAGUAGCCGGCCUGAGAGGGUGAACGGCCACAUUGGGACUGAGACACGGCCCAAACUCCUACGGGAGGCAGCAGUGGGGAAUAUUGCACAAUGGGGGAAACCCUGAUGCAGCGACGCCGCGUGAGUGAAGAAGUAUUUCGGUAUGUAAAGCUCUAUCAGCAGGGAAGAAAAUGACGGUACCUGACUAAGAAGCUCCGGCUAAAUACGUGCCAGCCGCCGCCGUAACAC